UUUUUUUUUUUUUUUUUUUUUUUUUUUUUUUUUUUUGUU
rnacentral:ribozyme from 1 species